rnacentral:misc_RNA from 1 species
GAUGAAGAACGUAGCGAAAUGCGAUAAGUAAUGUGAAUUGCAGAAUUCAGUGAAUCAUCGAAUCUUUGAACGCACAUUGCGCCCCCUGGUAUUCCGGGGGGCAUGCCUGUUCGAGCGUCAUUUCACCACUCAAGCCUCGCUUGGUAUUGGGCAACGCGGUCCGCCGCGUGCCUCAAAUCGACCGGCUGGGUCUUCUGUCCCCUAAGCGUUGUGGAAACUAUUCGCUAAAGGGUGCUCGGGAGGCUACGCCGUAAAACAAACCCAUUUCUAAGGUUGACCUCGGAUCAGGUAGGGAUACCCGCUGAACUUAAGCAUAUCCAUAAGCGGAGGA